AUUGAACGCUGGCGGCAGGCCUAACACAUGCAAGUCGAGCGGUAGAGAGAAGCUUGCUUCUCUUGAGAGCGGCGGACGGGUGAGUAAUGCCUAGGAAUCUGCCUGGUAGUGGGGGAUAACGUUCGGAAACGGACGCUAAUACCGCAUACGUCCUACGGGAGAAAGCAGGGGACCUUCGGGCCUUGCGCUAUCAGAUGAGCCUAGGUCGGAUUAGCUAGUUGGUGAGGUAAUGGCUCACCAAGGCGACGAUCCGUAACUGGUCUGAGAGGAUGAUCAGUCACACUGGAACUGAAACACGGUCCAGACUCCUACGGGAGGCAGCAGUGGGGAAUAUUGGACAAUGGGCGAAAGCCUGAUCCAGCCAUGCCGCGUGUGUGAAGAAGGUCUUCGGAUUGUAAAGCACUUUAAGUUGGGAGGAAGGGCAGUUACCUAAUACGUGAUUGUUUUGACGUUACCGACAGAAUAAGCACCGGCUAACUCUGUGCCAGCAGCCGCGGUAACAC
rnacentral:rRNA from 1 species